GUAACCCUGCCAUGUGCGAGUUGCGCAAGACGUGUUCCGAGCCAACACUCACACGUGGUGUGCCUAACUCCGGGGGUGGAUUAGAGGCUUCGAAAGAAGCUUCAUGAAGCUCUCGGGAGGGCACAAAAGUUGUUUCCGGGGUUCGGGAACAAAGCGCAUACGGCAUGGCGGGGUUUUA
rnacentral:other from 1 species